GAUGAACGCUGGAGGCGUGCCUAAUACAUGCAAGUCGAGCGAACGGACGAGAAGCUUGCUUCUCUGAUGUUAGCGGCGGACGGGUGAGUAACACGUGGAUAACCUACCUAUAAGACUGGGAUAACUUCGGGAAACCGGAGCUAAUACCGGAUAAUAUUUUGAACCGCAUGGUUCAAAAGUGAAAGACGGUCUUGCUGUCACUUAUAGAUGGAUCCGCGCUGCAUUAGCUAGUUGGUAAGGUAACGGCUUACCAAGGCAACGAUGCAUAGCCGACCUGAGAGGGUGAUCGGCCACACUGGAACUGAGACACGGUCCAGACUCCUACGGGAGGCAGCAGUAGGGAAUCUUCCGCAAUGGGCGAAAGCCUGACGGAGCAACGCCGCGUGAGUGAUGAAGGUCUUCGGAUCGUAAAACUCUGUUAUUAGGGAAGAACAUAUGUGUAAGUAACUGUGCACAUCUUGACGGUACCCAAUCAGAAAGCCACGGCUAACUACGUG
rnacentral:rRNA from 1 species